GCCCCUUAACACAUAAGAGGUGUUGCCUGCCCACUGAUUAUAAAUAAAAGUAUAAACUACUCUAAAUAUAAUUUAAAGGACGCGGUAUCUUGACCGUGAUAAUGUAGCAUAAUCAUUCGCCAUUUAAUUGAUGGAUAGUAUGAAUGGCUAAACGAGUAUAACACUGUCUCUAAUAAAAUAUUAUAAAAUUGAAAUAUUAGUAAAGAUGCUAAUUAAAAUUGUAAGACGAAAAGACCCUAUAGAGCUUAACUAUAGUUUUUACACUCAGAAAAAAGUUUACUUUUUAACACGUAAAAAUAGGUAGUUUGGUUGGGGCGACCACUCUCUAAAAAAAACGAGAGUAAACAAAGUCAAUUAAAAGAUUUACUGUACAAAUAAUAAUUUUAACAGUUAUAAUUAUAGGUAAUAAUGACCCGUUUAUAAUUUGAACAAAUGUAAACGAUCAGUAAAUAAAAGCUACCUUAGGGAUAACAGGAUAAUUUUAUUUUAGAGUCCUUAUCAAAAAUAAAGUUUGUCACCUCUAUGUUGAAUUAAGAUAUCCAAAUGAUGCAGAAGUCAUUAAUGGUAGGUCUGUUCGACCUUUAAAAUCUU
rnacentral:rRNA from 1 species